rnacentral:lncRNA from 10 species
AGUGUAAAGAAUGCAUUGGGGUGGAUGGCAAGCACUUGUAGUGAUUUGGGAUAAAGAUGGUGGAGGUCUGAACUGACGUGGAGAUGGAGAAAAAUGGUUAAAGGAAAGCCCUGUCUGCACAAGUGGAUGGUAUCAUCUGGCAGAAGCCCAAGUCAAAAUGCAUAGACCUAAAGAAGCUGUUCUUUCAUGCAGUCAAGCUCUGAAGAUCGUAGAUAAUCUUGGUGCGUCUGGUAACAGUCUUUAUCAGAGGAAUCUUUGUCUUCAUUUGAAAGCAGAGGCUUUGAUUAAACUCUCAGAUUAUGACUCUUCAGAGGAAGCAAUUCGUACGCUUGAUCAG